rfam:Gossypium arboreum cultivar AKA8401 contig_143301_1, whole genome shotgun sequence.
AAUCUAUGGUGAGAGCACCUUCUCAGCAAGUCCUUGUAUCUCUCCCAUGCAUCGUAAAGUCUUUCUAAAUCCAUCUGUACAAAAGAAGAGAUAUCACUACGCAAUUU